rnacentral:rRNA from 1 species
CAGCAGCCACGGGAAUACGUAGGGUGCAAGCGUUGUCCGGAAUUAUUGGGCGUAAAGAGCUCGUAGGCGGUUUGUCGCGUCUGCUGUGAAAUCCCGAGGCUCAACCUCGGGCUUGCAGUGGGUACGGGCAGACUAGAGUGCGGUAGGGGAGAUUGGAAUUCCUGGUGUAGCGGUGGAAUGCGCAGAUAUCAGGAGGAACACCGAUGGCGAAGGCAGAUCUCUGGGCCGUAACUGACGCUGAGGAGCGAAAGCAUGGGGAGCGAACAGGAUUAGAUACCCCAGUAGUCCCUGUCUCUUAUAU